rnacentral:rRNA from 1 species
GCCCGAUGAACCUGAAUAUCCAUUAUGGGAAAUUCAUCAUUAAAAUUGUAAUAUUUAAAAAAUAUUAUAAUGAUAGUGUGCAUUUUUCCCAUAUAAGGACAUUGUAAUCUAUUAAUAUNNUUNAUUUAUCAUAAAAUAUGACUUAUAGUUUAUUUUUAUUAUUAUGCUUGCAUUUUAACAUAAAAUAAAUGUCAUUCAAUUUGAUAAAGUAUUGAUAGAUUUAUAUGAAAUACAAUGCGUUAAUUUUUCGAAAUUAUAUAAUGGCAUAAUUAUCAUUGAUUUUUGUGUUUAUUAUAUGCAUUUGUAUGAUUAACAAUGCGAAAGAUUCAGGAUACUUCGGG